rnacentral:rRNA from 1 species
CCAAUAGCGUAUAUUAAAGUUGUUGCAGUUAAAAAGCUCGUAGUUGAACUUCGGAAUUUAUUCAUUGGUCAGGCUUAACUGUCUGUACUGGUGUGAUGAAUUCCUACCUUCUGAGGAAUCUCCAUGCCAUUCACUUGGUGUGGUGGGGAAUCAGGACUGUUACUUUGAAAAAAUUAGAGUGUUUAAAGCAGGCUAACGUCUGAAUACAUUAGCAUGGAAUAAUAAAAUAGGACGGCUUGGUUCUAUUUUGUUGGUUUCUAGGAUCACCGUAAUGAUUAAUAGGGAUAGUUGGGGGCAUUAGUAUUCAAUUGUCAGAGGUGAAAUUCUUGGAUUUAUUGAAGACUAACUACUGCGAAAGCAUUUGCCAAGGAUGUUUUCAUUAAUCAAGAACGAAAGUUAGGGGAUCGAAGACGAUCAGAUACCGUCGUAGUCUUAACCAUAAACUAUGCCGACUAGGGAUCGGACGAAGUUAAUUUUUAAAUGACUCGUUCGGCACCUUACG